AAGAUAUGGAGAAUUCUGGGAAUGGAAACCCGGUAUCAAAGUAAGUUUUGACCGGAGUGGAACCGAGACUGAGUAUUGAAGUACAAAAAUAUUGGAAAAUUGUUGUAAGUCUGAUGGGCGCAUAAAUACAUAUGAUGGAAUUAUGAGAACACUACAUGCCCCAGCAAGAUAAGUUCAGCCUUUCAGUUCGUAACUAGUAUCCUAGUAAGACCUGUAUCAGCCAAGUUUUGUUUGAGUAAUGACUGGAAUUAAUUCUAAUACUAUCAGUUACCUAAGCCGGCAUAUUAAAUGUCAUUACCAUUUUCUUCAGGAACAAGUAACACAAUUCAUUACUACCUUCAGCAAGCUGUCAAAUAAUUUCCCGUAUUCGAACCUAUCAGCCAAUAACCCAACAGACUCGGUUAAACCAUCUUCGGAGUGUUGUCAGUUAAAUUUAGUUAAAUUCAUCGAAUCAAUGCGAUGUAUGAGUUAUAAUCAGUAAGCCUUAUUAUGUUAUGAACAUUACGGUUCCCGAGCCUAUCUAAUGUUGAAAACUUUCUAAAUUCUUUAAUAUCAGCGAAUUGGAUUCAC
rnacentral:lncRNA from 1 species